rnacentral:rRNA from 1 species
UACAGAGGUCUCAAGCGUUGUUCGGAUUCAUUGGGCGUAAAGGGUGCGUAGGCGGCGCGGUAAGUCUGCUGUGAAAGUCGGGGGCUCAACCCUCGAAAGCCGGUGGAUACUGUCGGACUAGAGUACGGAAGAGGCGAGUGGAAUUCCUGGUGUAGCGGUGAAAUGCGCAGAUAUCAGGAGGAACACCAAUGGCGAAGGCAGCUCGCUGGGACGUGACUGACGCUGAGACGCGAAAGCGUGGGGAGCAAACAGG